rnacentral:rRNA from 1 species
AACGAACGCUGGCGGCAUGCCUAACACAUGCAAGUCGAACGAGAUCUUCGGGUCUAGUGGCGCACGGGUGCGUAACGCGUGGGAAUCUGCCCUCUGGUUCGGAAUAACAGUUGGAAACGACUGCUAAUACCGGAUGAUGACGAAAGUCCAAAGAUUUAUCGCCAGAGGAUGAGCCCGCGUAGGAUUAGCUAGUUGGUGUGGUAAAGGCGCACCAAGGCGACGAUCCUUAGCUGGUCUGAGAGGAUGAUCAGCCACACUGGGACUGAGACACGGCCCAGACUCCUACGGGAGGCAGCAGUGGGGAAUAUUGGACAAUGGGCGAAAGCCUGAUCCAGCAAUGCCGCGUGAGUGAUGAAGGCCUUAGGGUUGUAAAGCUCUUUUACCCGGGAUGAUAAUGACAGUACCGGGAGAAUAAGCUCCGGCUAACUCCGUGCCAGCCGCCGCGGUAAGAC